CCUACGGGUGGCAGCAGUGGGGAAUCUUGCACAAUGGGGGAAACCCUGAUGCAGCGACGCCGCGUGAGUGAAGAAGUAAUUCGGUAUGUAAAGCUCUGUCAGCAGGGAAGAAAAUGACGGUACCUGACCAAGAAGCUCCGGCUAACUACGUGCCAGCAGCCGCGGUAAUACGUAGGGGGCAAGCGUGAUCCGGAUUUACUGGGUGUAACGGGAGCGUAGACGGUAGGGCAAGUCUGGAGUGAAAGGCGGGGGCUCAACCCCCGGACUGCUCUGGAAACUGCCAGGCUGGAGUGCAGGAGAGGUAAGUGGAAUUCCUAGUGUAGCGGUGAAAUGCGUAGAUAUAAGGAGGAACACCAGUGGCGAAGGCGGCUUACUGGACUGUAACUGACGUUGAUGCGCGAAAGCGUGGGGAGCAAACAGGAUUAGAUACCCGUGUAGUC
rnacentral:rRNA from 1 species